AAUCUUCUUGCCACUCCUUCAUCUCCCUCUUGCAUCGUUAUGUAGCGUCUUACCCCGCGCUGCCCUUGGCCUCCGCUGCGUCUUGCUUUUCUUGGCUUCGCUUUGUGUCGUCGUGCCUUGCGUAAUGCAUUCCAAGCCUUAAACUCUUCCUCUCGCUCUCCACCCUCCUCACCCACAUGGGCGCGUCAUUUACAUCUUGAGAGCUGCUGUUCGGCUUUUGGCGCAAAAUCGACGCUUGUGUGGAGGAUGAUGAGAGUGCACCGUCAAGCCGUCGGCCAUACAGUCGGCAAUCGAAUUCUCGUGGCCGAAUCCACGCAAGUCAUGAACCUAGCUCCCUCACCUCAAACCCUGCAAGAACUGGCUCCAAUCGGGGGUGAUCACUUCAGUCGCAUGGAGCGCCUCCCACCAGCGGUCCAAAUGCUGAAUCAAGCACGGGGCACCAAUGCGUGUUGAAUGGCUGGAGCUCAUUCCUUGUCCAGCAACCAGAAAUCCAUUCUCAACCUAACCAUGAAGGAGAAGGACUUCUUGCAGGUAAACUAAGAUGAGUAAGGAGAAGGUUGACAUUAACAUCGUGGUCAUCUGCCAUGUCGACUCCGGAAGUCAAGUACCCCCGGUCUCCUUUUCUAAAAGUUGGGAGGAGGAGGCUGCUGAGAUGAACAAGUGCUCCUUCCAGUACGAGUAGGUGCUCAGCCUUCACCGUAGUGAUUUCAUUAAGAACUUGAUUACGGGAACCUCACAGGCUGAUUGAUCGGCGCUCUUUAUCGAUUCGACGACCAGAGGUUUUGAGGACAGUAUCUCAAAGGAUGGUCAAACCAAGGAGCACACGUUAGUUAUUGAUAAUUAAUCAUUGUUACUUGUGAUAUCUCCAUGAUUGUACCAACUCCAUUUUUUUAAAACCAUGAAUGUAUCAAUCCAAAUUUAGAUGAUAGUUAUGCUGA